rnacentral:rRNA from 1 species
AGCGAACGCUGGCGGCAGGCCUAACACAUGCAAGUCGAACGAAGUCUUCGGACUUAGUGGCGGACGGGUGAGUAACACGUGGGAACGUACCUUAUGGUUCGGAACAACUCAGGGAAACUUGAGCUAAUACCGGAUGAGCCCUUAGGGGGGAAGAUUUAUCGCCGAAAGAGCGGCCCGCGUUAGAUUAGCUAGUUGGUGAGGUAAAGGCUCACCAAGGCUACGAUCUAUAGCUGGUCUGAGAGGAUGAUCAGCCACACUGGGACUGAUACACGGCCCAGACUCCUACGGGAGGCAGCAGUGGGGAAUCUUGCGCAAUGGGCGAAAGCCUGACGCAGCCAUGCCGCGUGAAUGAUGAAGGUCUUAGGAUUGUAAAAUUCUUUUACCAGGGACGAUAAUGACGGUACCUGGAGAAAAAGCCCCGGCUAACUUCGUGCCAGCAGCCGCCGUAACAC